UGGGGAAUAUUGGACAAUGGGGGCAACCCUGAUCCAGCCAUGCCGCGUGUGUGAAGAAGGCCUUUUGGUUGUAAAGCACUUUAAGCAGGGAGGAGAGGCUAAUGGUUAAUACCCAUUAGAUUAGACGUUACCUGCAGAAUAAGCACCGGCUAACUCUGUGCCAGCAGCCGCGGUAAAUACAGAGGGUGCGAGCGUUAAUCGGAAUUACUGGGCGUAAAGCGAGUGUAGGUGGCUCAUUAAGUCACAUGUGAAAUCCCCGGGCUUAAACCUGGGAACUGCAUGUGAUACUGGUGGUGCUAGAAUAUGUGAGAGGGAAGUAGAAUUCCAGGUGUAGCGGUGAAAUGCGUAGAGAUCUGGAGGAAUACCGAUGGCGAAGGCAGCUUCCUGGCAUAAUAUUGACACUGAGAUUCGAAAGCGUGGGUAGCAAACAGGAUUAGAUACCCUGGUAGUCCACGCCGUAAAACGAUGUCUACUAGCCGUUGGGGUCCUUGAGACUUUAGUGGCGCAGUUAACGCGAUAAGUAGACCGCCUGGGGAG
rnacentral:rRNA from 1 species